CCAAUGAGGAGACUUCAAAGCUGGAUGCAGGGAGGGGAACAAAGGCUUCUCUCUGUCUGUGUCUUGCCUUUGCCGGGACCAGAGCAGGAAUGCAGGUCACUUCCAUUCAUUAUUACAAGAGAAGGAUUUUAAAAUGCAAAGCAAGAAACUGGAGACUGCUGUAGAACGUGCUUCUGAUAAGUGAUCAGUCAAGAUCAGAAGAAGAAAACAAGCUUUCCUGCUUUUUCAGCUCCAGAAUGGCUCCUUAACUUUGAAUGAACUAAUCAUUCAACUGAACUAGUUGAAUAAACUGAAGAGAAAAUAUUCUUUCUGCACCCGCAGAAAAAGCUACUGCUAUCAAAAGCUAUUUUAGCACUUCAGCAAACUCUGGUCCUGGUCCUUAGCCAGUGACUUCCACUAGUUCAGUGGUUUCAGUUUGGCAGCAAAGAGUAGUGCUUAAUAUUAUUUCUUGUAUUUCAUUUGAAUUAUUUUAAUAGCUGAUAAUAAAUGUAAGCCUGAAUG